rnacentral:lncRNA from 1 species
GCACGUAAUCUGCCCCUCGUCGCACACGAGGAUCAGCGUCACCUUCGUCAGGGUCCGGCCCUCCGACACGGCGGCGGCGGUGGCGGCGGUCAGCCCCUCUCCCGCUCCGCUGGGGAAAGCGAUAACCCUGUGGCAACCGGAGCACAAGGAGACGGCGACGGCGGCGGCGGCGGCGGCGGCCGGGGGAGGGGGCCUGAUGGUCAGGGCGGGGCCCCGGUGGGGGGCGUGGCGCCGCUGCAGGCGCCGAUGGUGCUCUUCGCUCCGGCGAGGCCGGCUGCGCUGGGCCCACCGGCGAGGAGGUUCGCUCGGGGGGCACCGGCGUGUUCUUGCCGUGGACGGUGGGCCCAAGAAGUACCACAAGCACGUCCCCCCUCGCAUUCAGCGGCGCCGCCUCGCCUCCCUCCCGCCGCCGGCCCUGGAGGCCGCCGUCUGACCGGGCCGCCUUCUCUCCCUCCGCCGCCGCCCUGGAAACGGCUGCGCUGAGAGCUGAGAGCUGAGCUGUGGUGGAUCGGAUCGGAUCGACUCGGGGGAGAGGAGCUGUGGAGUUUGAACAAUGUAGGUGUUUUCCUUCCAAGGGUAAAAAUUUUUGUGCAACCCACCCACCCACC